rnacentral:rRNA from 1 species
UGCGACCUCCAGGUCAGGCGGGCAGCCUCGAA